rnacentral:rRNA from 1 species
GAGCCCAAGAGAUGUUAUACGGUGUAAAAAGUGGACGGACAAUAAGUAAUUAAAGCUAAAUAUCUUCUAUGCUGUUAUACGCUUAUGAAGUAAGAGGCCCCUUCACGAAAGUAGCUUUAAAAGGAUAUCCACUAAAGCUAAGAAACAAACUGGGAUUAGAUACCCCACUAUGCUUAGCCUUAAACAUAAGUAUUAUUUAACCUUAUUGCUUACCAGGGAACUAUGAGCCCCAGCUUAAAACCCAAAGGACUUGGCGGUCCCUAAGACCCCCCUAGAGGAGCCUGUUCUAUAAUCGAUACCCCACGUUAAACCUCACCCUUAAUUGCUUAUUCCGUCUAUAUACCGCCGUCGUCAGCUCACCCUAUGAAGGAACAAUAGUUAGCAUAGUUGGUAAAACCCAAAACGUCAGGUCAAGGUGUAACACAUGUAAGGGGAAGAAAUGGGCUACAUUCACUGAAACAGUAAAUACGGAUACUACUUUGAAAUAAGUAGCUUGAAGGAGGAUUUAGUAGUAAGAAAAAAAUAGAGUGUUUAUCUGAAACUGGCCCUUAAGCGCGCACACACCGCCCGUCACUCUCCCCAACAG